UACGUAGGGUCCGAGCGUUGUCCGGAAUUACUGGGCGUAAAGAGCUCGUAGGUGGUUUGUCGCGUUGUUCGUGAAAACUCACAGCUCAACUGUGGGCGUGCGGGCGAUACGGGCAGACUUGAGUACUGCAGGGGAGACUGGAAUUCCUGGUGUAGCGGUGGAAUGCGCAGAUAUCAGGAGGAACACCGGUGGCGAAGGCGGGUCUCUGGGCAUGAUCUGACGCUGAGGAGCGAAAGUGUGGGGAGCGAACAGG
rnacentral:rRNA from 1 species